AAGUCGUAACAAGGUUUCCGUAGGUGAACCUGCGGAAGGAUCAUUAGAAAUCACCGGCUUAGCCGGUAUAAAAUUCUAUCCACCCUUGUGUGCAAACAAUGGAAAAAACAGAGAGAAAAUUGGAUACUUUUUUUGUAUCCAACCUCUCUAAAAUUUUUUAUAAACUCCAUCAAAUUUUGAAUAAAACUAUUUUUUUUUUUAAUAAAAAAUAUUAUACAACUUUCAACAACGGAUCUCUUGGCUCUC
rnacentral:misc_RNA from 1 species